rnacentral:rRNA from 1 species
AACGAACGCUGGCGGCAGGCCUAACACAUGCAAGUCGAGCGAGAUCUUCGGAUCUAGCGGCGGACGGGUUAGUAACGCGUGGGAAUAUACCCUUUGGUACGGAAUAGCCUCGGGAAACUGGGAGUAAUACCGUAUGAGCCCUUCGGGGGAAAGAUUUAUCGCCAAAGGAUUAGCCCGCGUUGGAUUAGAUAGUUGGUGGGGUAAUGGCCUACCAAGUCGACGAUCCAUAGCUGGUUUGAGAGGAUGAUCAGCAACACUGGGACUGAGACACGGCCCAGACUCCUACGGGAGGCAGCAGUGGGGAAUCUUAGACAAUGGGCGCAAGCCUGAUCUAGCCAUGCCGCGUGGACGAUGAAGGCCUUAGGGUUGUAAAGUCCUUUCAGCUGGGAAGAUAAUGACGGUACCAGCAGAAGAAGCCCCGGCUAACUCCGUGCCAGCAGCCGCGGUAAUACGGAGGGGGCUAGCGUUGUUCGGAAUUACUGGACGUAAAGCGCACGUAGGCGGAUUAUUAAGUGAGGGGUGAAAUCCCAGGGCUCAACCCUGGAACUGCCUUUCAUACUGGUAGUCUUGAGUUCGAGAGAGGUGAGUGGAAUUCCGAGUGUAGAGGUGAAAUUCGUAGAUAUUCGGAGGAACACCAGUGGCGAAGGCGGCUCACUGGCUCGAUACUGACGCUGAGGUGCGAAAGCGUGGGGAGCAAACAGG